rnacentral:rRNA from 1 species
CUUUUGCAUCAUGAUUUAGCAAGCAAUAGUCAAGCAAAAAGUAUUUUAGUUUGACCCCCCGAAACCAAGUGAGCUACUCCAAGACAACCUAAAUCUAGGGUGAACCCGUCUCUGUGGCAAAAGAGUGGGAAGAGCUUUGAGUAGGGGUGACAGACCUACCGAACUUGGUAAUAGCUGGUUGCUUGAGAAACGAAUAGAAGUUCCGCUUCUUAUAUUCUUCCCCCCUUUCGGUCAUCAUGGCCCUAUCACAGACAAAAGAAAAUAAGAAAGUCAGUCAAAGGAGGUACAGCUCCUUUGAAACAAGAUACAACUUUCCCAGGAGGGUAAAGAUCACAUUUCACCAAGGUACUUAUGUUUCGGUGGGCCUAAAAGCAGCCA